rnacentral:rRNA from 1 species
GACGAACGCUGGCGGCGUGCUUAACACAUGCAAGUCGAACGAUGAAGCCGGAGCUUGCUCUGGUGAAUUAGUGGCGAACGGGUGAGUAACACGUGAGUAACCUGCCCUUGACUCUGGGAUAACUGCGGGAAACUGUAGCUAAUACCGGAUACGACCCUCGGAGGCAUCUCCUGGGGGUGGAAAGAAUUUCGGUCAAGGAUGGACUCGCGGCCUAUCAGCUAGUUGGUGAGGGAAAGGCUCACCAAGGCGACGACGGGUAGCCGGCCUGAGAGGGUGACCGGCCACACUGGGACUGAGACACGGCCCAGACUCCUACGGGAGGCAGCAGUGGGGAAUAUUGCACAAUGGGCGCAAGCCUGAUGCAGCAACGCCGCGUGAGGGAUGACGGCCUUCGGGUUGUAAACCUCUUUUAGCAGGGAAGAAGCGAAAGUGACGGUACCUGCAGAAAAAGCACCGGCUAACUACGUGCCAGCCGCCGCGGUAA